rnacentral:rRNA from 1 species
GUAGGGAAUAUUGCGCAAUGGACGAAAGUCUGACGCAGCGACGCCGCGUGAGUGAUGAAGGCCUUAGGGUCGUAAAGCUCUGUUGAAUGGGAAGAAAAAAAUGACGGUACCAUUCGAGGAAGGACCGGCUAACUUCGUGCCAGCAGCCGCGGUAAUACGAGGGGUCCUAGCGUUGUUCGGAAUCAUUGGGCGUAAAGGGUGUGUAGGUGGCCAUGUAAGUCAGGUGUGAAAGCCGCGGGCUCAACCCGGGAAGUGCACUUGAUACUGCGUGGCUUGAGUACCGAAGAGGGUAGUGGAAUUCCAGGUGUAGUGGUGAAAUACGUAGAUAUCUGGAGGAACACCGGUGGCGAAGGCGACUACCUGGUCGAGUACUGACACUGAGACACGAAAGCAUGGGGAUCAAACAGGAUUAGAUACCCGUGUAGUCC